GCCGGUAUAGCUCAGUUGGUAGAGCACCUGAUUUGUAAUCAGGGGGUCGCGGGUUCGAACCCUGCUGCCGGCACCA
rnacentral:tRNA from 40 species